rnacentral:rRNA from 1 species
UACGUAGGGGGCUAGCGUUGUCCGGAAUCAUUGGGCGUAAAGAGCGCGUAGGCGGCUAGAUAAGUCCGGUGUGAAAGUCACAGGCUCAACCUGUGAAUGCCGCUGGAAACUGUCUGGCUAGAGUCCGGAAGGGGCGAGUGGAAUUCCUGGUGUAGCGGUGAAAUGCGCAGAUAUCAGGAGGAACACCAAUGGCGAAGGCAGCUCGCUGGAACGGUACUGACGCUGAGGCGCGAAAGCGUGGGGAGCAAACAGG